UUUAGGCGGGAGGAGAAUGGCGGUCGCUGUAGACGGCAGAUUCCGCAGUGCGAACGAGCUAUUGAGCAGGCUCAAUACAGGUCAAUGUUUGUGUCCCUCAAUUUAGGUCUUCGCUGCAUUUCCUUACGCCGUCGGCAUCUCCGACACGAACAACGACACCAUCUUCGAAUGCCUGUCGGCGACGCGCAAAGAUUUUGAUCCCGAGGCUAAGACGGUGACGUACGUGUGGUCACUCAACGAUGUACCAGGGAAGCGGAAACACGUUGCUUUUCACCACACAGCUGGCCCAACCCCGGACGCAACAAAUUUCACUGUUGGCAAAAGCACUAACGUGGAAGUGGCGUAUAUAGUUUGGAGUGACUACAAGGACUGCGCCAUCACCGAUGUUCCUCACUACUCAGAACAGUGCACCCUGUGGGUUUCGAAGGCAGUGGAGGACCUGGUGCCUGUAUCCUGCCUGGAUCAGUUUCACGACGUUUGCGGUGUCAUGGUUCCUCUUCACGACAGCGACCUCUGCGAGGACGACGAAAAUGACGAGGAGGAUGACGACGCCGGUAAUUAGACUCCAAAAGUGGACACUCAGAUAAUCUCUGUUAUUCUCCACGCUAUAGUAACUGUUGUAUAUGA
rnacentral:lncRNA from 1 species